CCCACUCCACUCGAUCCCCUUCUCGUCGUUGCCCUGCUCUCGAUGCCCCUUUUGCCAAUGGCAGCCGCCGCCCGAUUCCGGUGAUUUGCAGCGUCCUCCGGUCUCCGGGGUUUCGGCGAUAGAGACAACAACGAGUAACGACGAUGGAGUAGACGGCAGGCGACGACGACGGAGUAGACAGUAGGCGACUGCAACCCUCGGCUCCAACCCAGUUGGCGUUGAUGAGUCUACAAUAGUCACUACAGGUCUUCUUGCAACUUCGCGACAUAUGCCGACGGAGGCGAAGCGAGCACCAACCAAGGAUAUGUACUGAAUCUGACAACCGUCGAGGAGAAGGUCUAUGAUGUGAACAUACUCAAGCGCCAGCUUAUAGAGUCUCAUGAAAGCACCAUCAAGCCCCUAAAGGAGGUGAAUGUCGCGCUGAAGGCGGAGAGGAAUCAACUGAUCGACUAGAAGGUUGAUCUCUUCGGUAAGACUGUUAGGCUGAGGGAGCUGAGUGAUCAGCUGAUCGAGGAGAGGGGACAACUAAAGAAGGAGAGAAAGCUCCUCAGGCUGAGAGGAAUGAGCUUAAGAUGGUGAAAGCUCGUUUUAAAAAAGAGGGAGAGAACAAUAGGUACAAGAUUCAACAGAUGAAGGCAAUCCUUGAUCAUGAAAUGUGAUUGACCACCAAGGCUAGCUAUGGAUGAUGUAGUUUGUUAAGUUGAACUAGUUUAGUUCUUGAACUGCUAACUUCUAUGUAGUUUGUUAAGUUGAA